CCUCCAAGGCCAGUGUGCCAUCAGGGUCCGGCCCGGGGCCUGGGGCUGCCUGACCGACAGCAGCUCUGGCUGUGAGAGGGACGGGCCAGGUCUGACCGCGACCCCGCCAUCUGUCAGCCGGGGACGGUCAGCAGCGUGAGUGAAGCAGGGGCUCCGGCAGGGCCGCCCACCCAGCACCUGCUCUCGGGGCACCCAGGUGGGCGCCGGAAGGAGACGAGAUGGCGCCUCGGCCCUUCUGCUGGCCCCGAAGGGAGAGCAGGGUUUGGGCCAGAACCCGCUGCGUGGCUGUGUCCGCGGGUGGCCCUCCCGGCGCUCUAGGGAAGGAUGCUUUUGCUGUCACGGCGCUGGCUUUCGCCCGCAGAGACUGCGGGGACGGGCGGAGGCCCUCGUCCUCCCUCGCGGCGCGGCCCAGGCCUGAGCUCGCCCACCUCUGCACAGCGCGGCGGGUCCUGGACGCCCGGCCCGCGUUAACCGGGGCAGGAAACCCACGGUCUCCUCCACAGGAUGGAAGCACGAGGCCUCUGGGUGUCGGUCUGAGCCAGGCCGAAGAGCGGGGCUCCGUGGCGGGGACAUCAGAAAGCUCUGAGGCCCGGGCUGCGCCUACCACCCACAGACGGAGGCCGAAAUGUGCUGUUUUCCUGGCCCUUGGUGUAGAGAGGAAACUGGCUGAGCUAAUUCGGGAGCCUGGAAGGCGGCCGAUUCGCAGGUCAUUGGGGCUGAAGCCAGGCAGGAUUUUGGGGGCACUCAGAAUCCUUCUGAUGGAGCUCUGCAUUUGAAGCCUGGGUGCAGGAGUUUUCAGAAGAGGAUGGUGCUCUGCAUGAUGGCUGUUUGGCUUGACAGACAGACCCCUGAGUCUCAAAGGUGACGUCACCAAGAUGCUGACAUGGGUCAUUCCUGACUUAGCUCCCCACACAAGAAGAACAAGUAACAACUAUUCAAGAACGAGGUAGCACUGAGAGAAUCCUAGAACACGGGCUGAAGCACCCCCUGCACCACAGAGACCAAGACAGAUGUGGUGGAAGGUAAGAGAAGGGGCUACACAUUGACCACCUUCCUCUCCCCUGGGGCCAGUGCAGGGAAAGAUAAACAAAAUUGACAAACUCAUAGCUAGACUAAUCAAGGAAAAAG